ensembl:misc_RNA 7SK 7SK RNA
GGAUGUGAGGGUGAUCUGGCUAUGACAUCUGUCACCCCAGUGAUUGCCACUGUUGAUUCUGCUGAUCUAGCUGGCUAGGUGGUGUCCCCUUCCUCCCUCACCACUCCAUGUGCAUCCCUCCUGAAGCUGUGUGCUCAGUUGAAGAGGAGGACCAUCCCCAAUAGAGGAGGACCAGUCUUCGGCUAAGGGUAUACGAGUAGCUGCGCUCCCCUGCUAGAAUCUCCAAACAAGCUCUCAAGGUCCAGAGACAAGAUGUGAACUUCAUGUCUCAAUUGAUGAUCACGUGGUUGUGUGGUGGUACAG